rfam:Pseudomonas sp. 1 R 17 genome assembly PSEFL294_LIB5394, contig: PSEFL294_LIB5394_000019
AGAUCGGGCAAAACGCUGUCGUUGACAGCAACCCAGGUAGCCAGAACCUUUAAGGCUACGCCACACGGUGGUGGUUCUCCCAAAGUGCGAUUAGCGUCCGGCGGCUCGCACGGUCACAGCGAUGUGAUGGAUGC